rnacentral:rRNA from 1 species
CUACGGGGUGCAGCAGUUAGGAAUAUUCUUCAAUGCGCGAAAGCGUGAAAGAUUGAGCCAGAGUGCUUUUCAAAUGAAAAGCUUUUGCCGAAUGUAAAAAGUUCGGCGAAUAAGGACUGGGUAAGACGAGUGCCAGCCGCCGCGGUAAUACUCGCGGUCCAAGUCGCAGCCAUUUUUAUUGGGUCUAAAACAUCCGUAGCUUGCUCGGUAAGUUUCCUGUGAAAUCCGGCAUCUCAAGUGUCGGGCGGGCGGGAAAUACUGCAGAGCUAGAGACUGGAAGACGUAACGAGUAUGUUCAAAGUAGCGGUAAAAUGUUUUAAUCUUGAGCAGACUAACAACAGCGAAGGCACGUUACGAGGACAGUUCUGACAGUAAGGGAUGAAGGCUAGGGGCGCAAAACGGAUUAGAUACCCGUGUAGUC